CCUAUUUUACUCCAAAAAUCUUUAUCCUAGACCCCUUUGUCGUUAGCG
rnacentral:tRNA from 1 species